ensembl:lncRNA
GGCUUUGAAUCAACUGCCACUUACUGUGCCAUCAGGGUGGCACCACGCACGUCGUGAGCUACAGAUGAGAAUCCUCUGACCAAGAAAGGUGCAGCAAGGUGGCAGAGGGUGAACUGAGGCUUCUCUCCAAAAAGAGGAGGGACAGAUGUUUGCUGCUGGUUUUUUCCAUCGUUUUAUGCCCAAGGGACCUGGAGCGUGUGAGGGUCUCUGUCAGCACCACUCAAAAGAAAAACAACACAAGACCCAUUUUGGUCUAAGGCAGCCCUUGCCCAAUAGGAAGCCCAUAGAUUCCUCAUCCAUGCUAAAGACAGGCAGAGUCGUCUGUGACUUUCAAUUUUCAUGAAUGCGUAAGUGGCCUUGGCCACUAAGCAGGCAUUUUCCAAAACGGAUGUGCCUUUCUCAAUCACUGUGUCUGCGG